UCCGAAGCAGAACCUACAGUACAGCUCAUAAAAGCUCAAAUUAAAGCAAGACAGAAGAAAAAAACUAAAAGCGCGAAAAAGCGAGACGAAACUGUGGAGGAAAAACUUACGUUCAGAAAUGAAUUGAUGAAGUAGCCCAAACAAAAAUCAGCCACAGAGCCGGAACAGGCAACUUCAAAAACACGUGAAUGUUUGGAGGUCCAUGAUGCAAGGAAAGAAGAGGUUAUAGAGAGUGAUGAUUCCGAGAAGUACACAUUGGUUAAAAGGAGGGAGAAAACGAAAAAAAUUCAUGCAGAAAUAACUGCAGAGGAGAUCACUGUAAUACAUCACAGUGAUCUGCUCCUAAAUCAGGAUAAAUGUUUCAAAUAAACAAGGAGUUUAAAACGUCUCCUUGGAAGCUCCAAAGAGUGCAGAGAAGUCCUCCAGAAGAGGCAAAACUGUUACAGGAAAUAAAUGUAUAUAAAACGGAAAUU